ensembl:snRNA U2 U2 spliceosomal RNA
AUGGCUUUUAAUGAAACUGUGACAAUAAAACUAUGAAAAAGAAAAAGAAAAUCUGUUCUUAUCAGUUUAAUAUCUGAUACAUCCCCUACCCGGGGACUACAUAUUAAAUUGAUUUUUGCAUCACCGAGCUGGAGCCGGGGCUUGCUCUGUCCACUCCACGCAUUGGCCUGGUAUUGCAGUGUCUCCAGGAACGGUGUCCUUCCC